CACAGGCAAGGAUAAAAGAAAAGUGCAGGAGAGAGGCCUUCGUCCUGCAGUGGACAUAAAUAUAGGCUGAUGAUAAUUGUGAUUAUGAUGACGAU
rnacentral:lncRNA from 1 species